rnacentral:rRNA from 1 species
ACUCCUACGGGAGGCAGCAGUGAGGAAUAUUGGACAAUGGGCGCAAGCCUGAUCCAGCCAUGCCGCGUGCAGGAUGACGGUCCUAUGGAUUGUAAACUGCUUUUGUACAGGAAGAAACAGUUCUACGUGUAGAACCUUGACGGUACUGUAAGAAUAAGGAUCGGCUAACUCCGUGCCAGCAGCCGCGGUAAUAC